GUCGGAAUCGGCAAAGGUGAGCCGGGACAGCCUUCUUCCUCCGCCCAGCCACCACAGUGAUUUGUCGUCAAGUCUGCCACAGGAGGAUAUUUUGUUUUGGGUUAACCUGCUUUUCUACCUCGCAGGUUGUUUAUCAAUAUUGUGUAAUUUUAAUUACUCCUAGAAUUUCCGCAUGUGUUAGC